AGGACGAACGCUGGCGGCGUGCUUAACACAUGCAAGUCGAGCGGAAAGGCCCUUCGGGGUACUCGAGCGGCGAACGGGUGAGUAACACGUGAGCAACCUGCCCUUAGCUCUGGGAUAGCUCCGGGAAACCGGAAUUAAUACCGGAUAUGACCUAGGCCGACAUCGGCCGUGGUGGAAAGUUUUUCGGCUAGGGAUGGACUCGCGGCCUAUCAGCUAGUUGGUGGGGUAAUGGCCUACCAAGGCGACGACGGGUAGCCGGCCUGAGAGGGCGACCGGCCACACUGGGACUGAGACACGGCCCAGACUCCUACGGGAGGCAGCAGUGGGGAAUCUUGCGCAAUGGGCGAAAGCCUGACGCAGCGACGCCGCGUGGGGAUGAAGGCCUUCGGGUUGUAAACCCCUUUCAGCAGGGACGAAGCGAAAGUGACGGUACCUGCAGAAGAAGCGCCGGCUAACUACGCGCCAGCAGCCGC
rnacentral:rRNA from 1 species